GAUGAAGAACGUAGCGAAAUGCGAUAAGUAGUGUGAAUUGCAGAAUUCAGUGAAUCAUCGAAUCUUUGAACGCACAUUGCGCCCUUUGGUAUUCCUUAGGGCAUGCCUGUUCGAGCGUCAUUUAAACCUUCAAGCUAAGCUUGGUGUUGGGUGACUGUCCGCUUCACUGCGGACUCGCCUCAAAAUUAUUGGCGGCCGGUACAUUGGCUUCGAGCGCAGCAGAAACGCGAACUCGGGCCCGUCGUAUUGGCUCCCAGAAGCUAUCUUCACAAUUUUGACCUCGGAUCAGGUAGGGAUACCCGCUGAACUUAUGCAUAUCAUAAGCGGAGGA
rnacentral:misc_RNA from 1 species